AGUUAGACCUGCGAUGAGCGAUUUAUUGGAAGAAAAACCGCAACUGAAAGGAAACCACGACUGAAGACGAGGGAACAACAACAAGUGAACCAGCCCGAAGACUGAGAGCACCGACUGGACAGAACCCUCCUGACUCAGAGUUUCCAUUGAUUCGGUCAGCAGAAAGUCUGUUGGACCUGCGGUGAGAGGUUUAUUGGAAGAAAAGCCCGUGACCGAAAGCAAACCACAACUGAAGACGAGGGAACAGUAACAAGGAACCAACCGGAGGACUGAAAGCACCAACUCGAGGGAACCCUUCUGACUCGGAGUUAACACUGGCUCAGUCAGGAGAAAGUUUGGUCAUUGCCAGCAGGUGGGGCUUUCUUCCACUCGGACGGAAGACAAGAAGAAGACAAUCAACCAACGUCAGUCAGAGUCAGAAUGGACACAGGUAUG